UCUUAAUUUGAAGAUGAUGUAUGAUCUCAGGAGAGGUGUAUGGGUUCAAGUUGACAAGGGGUGGACUCGUGAUGGUUAAUACUGGGUGUCACCUUGAUCGAAGAUGCAAAGUACUGACCCUGGGUGUGUCUGUGAGGGUGUUGCCAAAGGAGAUUAACAUUUGAGUCAGUGGGCUGGGAAAGGCAGGCCUACCCUUAAUCUGGUGGGCACCGUCUAAUCAGCUGCCAGUGAAUAUAAAGCAGGCAGAAAAACAUGAAGAGGGAAGACUGGCCGAGCCUCCCAGCCUAUAUCUUUCUCCCCUGCUAGAUGAUCCCUGCCCUUGAACAUUGGACUCCAAGUUCUUCAGUUUUGAGACUCGAACUGGCUCUCCUUGCCCCUCAAGCUUGCCGACAGCCUAUUGUGGGACCUUGUGAUCGUGUUUUAGCACCUCUAAUGAAUGAGUGUCUGGGCAGCCAGAAAAUAAAUAAUGAAGGGCAUCAUCCAGGCAAAGAGGGGAAGAGAAAUGGACAUGGCUAGAGAGAGGGAAGAACGUAUGCAAAGAGAUGAGGUCAUUCAGACUGCAGUGUGAAAUUGGACUGGAGGGUGGACAAAAGGAGAAGUUGCUGAAGUAGAAGUUAAAGAUGGUGAGAAGUGGACAGUGGGGACAUCGAGGAGGAAAAGUCAGCAAGACCCAAGACGUGUAUGCAGAGAGAGUGUGGUAGGUGUGACAUGUAACUGAAAUGGAUGAUGGCAACUUUCACUGAGCAGAGAAAGGUCAGGUUGGUGGUAAGGGUCAUGAGUUGACUUUGGGGCACCUUGAUAUAGCCACUUCCAAUAUCACCUGUUUUAACAAGCCCCAGUGUUCCUUCCUGCUCAGCUCUCCCAGCUAGAGUGUGUCUUCUGUCCCGCAGCAUUGUAUGAGAACUGCUGGACCAUCACUCACCCCUUCCUGUGGAGAUUCUGUUUGCUCAUUUGCCUGUUCCACUGUGUACCUUACACAUAGUAGGUGCUCUUGGAAUGUGUGUUAGAUGGAUUAAUAUGAGAAGUGCUUCUCUGCAUGGUUUCACCAUGGAAGUGUUGAAAGCAGCCAGGGCUCCUCCUUCCUGACCUGCAGGCUUCCACUCGGCUGUGGGGCCUGGUGUGAUGGAGGGGCCCAGCCUGAGUCUGGACAGGGGAGGUGCCUGCAGAUAUUUUUGUGCCUGCAAAUAUGUUCAUGCCUUCGGACAGUUGGAUGUCCAGUUUAUUCUCUGCUUCUGCAGUGGCUUGCGGAGGUAAUUUUAUCUUGCUGUGUACUGUUAGGUCGUGGAGGAGACAUGCGCCUUCUCUCUUCUUUUUGGAAGGCAACCAGAAGUCUUUCCCCUUUCCUAGUGGGGCGGCUGCUCAGUCGCAGGCUCCAGAUGUCUACUUCAGAAUUCAAAAUACUUUCCUGAGCUGGGAAACAGAUCCAAGGAAAUAUCAGCCAGAGGCUUCAUUUUAUCGUCUGUGGAAAUGAAAGAUGUUAGAGCACCUAGGAGGGUCUUAACAUGCAAGACACUGUCUUAAGGCUUCCUGCAGAACAGAGGGUCAUCUGCUUUCAUUGGAUUCUCAAGGGAGCCUCAACAGGCUAUGCCUGAACCCCGGGUCUGGGGCAUCUCUCUAGCCCUCCCAGCUCUGACAUCAUCGCCAUUAGUGGCUGAAAUGUGUGCUGUGGUUGGGAUGUGCCAACAACCCUCCCAAGAGUCCCAUACCUACCUGACCUCAUCUGACCUUCACAGCAACGCAGUGACUCAGCUGCUAUUUGGCCCACAUUUUACAAACCCGAGUCAGUGUGCUUUACCCCAGUGACCCAAGAACCCAGGUGCUAAUGUCAGGCCUGCAUCCAAAUCAGGGUGGGAUCAGUGGUGUGCCCUGAACAAGUCACUAUCGUCUCUCUCUCUCUCUCUCUCUCUCUCUUUUUGUUUGGAGAUAGAGUUUUCACUCUGUUGGCCAGGCUGGAGUGUAAUGGUGCAAUCUCAGCUUACGGCAACUUCCCUCUCCCAGGUUCAAGCAAUUCUCCGGCCUCAGCCUCCCUACUAGCUGGGACUAUAGGUGCCUGCCACCACGCCUGGCUAAUUUUUGUGUUUUAGUAGAGACAGGGUUUCACCAUGUUGCCCAGGCUGGUCUUGAACUCCUGAGCUCAGGUCAUCCACCUGCCUCUGCCUCCCAAAGCACUAGGAUUACAGGCAUGAGCCACCGUGCCCGGCCCACUACCCUCUUUUAAUUUCAAUUUUCUCAUCCACAAAAUGAGGGCAAUAAUAUCCUUUCUUCCCCACUGGCCAUGUUCAGGAACGUACUUAUUUGCUCAUUUUGAAAUAUGCAGCAGCGUGCAUCAGAAAGACCAGGGCAUGUAUCCUGCAUGGGGUGGAGCAGGGAGGGCCCGCUCUGCCCCACUCGGGUGUCCUCAGGUGAACGUGGGUGUGGGCUGACUUUCUCUGCGCUCCCUGUGGAGCCACAACGGGGAACUGGGUUGAGUUACAGCACGAGGGCACUCACAGGCUCCACCCCAAGGAGGUCCCUGUUCUGCUGUCGGUCAAAGAAGCCCUGAGCCAUGACUGUGGACUGACACCCACUGCCUUUUUGACCCUGGAUGGGUUACAUAACCUCCCACAUGAGAGGGAGGAGGCACCGGGGCUUGUGGCCUGAGAUAACCGUGGUAGUGGGAGCCCUGUCUGUGGAUUGCCAAGGGGCUGUCGUCGGGCAGGGGACUGGUGAGGAGAACACAGCUCUGCAAGGCUCUUAUGAUUUGUUUUAAUCUUUAACUUUUCAAAACUUUCAAAUGUAAAGGAUGCAUGGUACAGUU